rnacentral:tRNA from 2 species
GUGCCCGUAGCUCAGUUGGAUAGAGUACAAGUUUCCGAAACUUGAGGUCAUGGGUUCAAUCCCCAUCGGGCAUA